rnacentral:misc_RNA from 1 species
AAGCAUUCAAGAUCCGGAGGCCAAGCCAUCUUCUUGUGCGAGCUUUUAUUGAAUAGCUCACUCCACGUGCAACCCGUACUUCCCUUCUGAAGAAAAAUGCAAACGAAGCCAAAUGUCGCCAUGUUCAAUUGUCCACCUCUUACUCAUCUCUGUUAUAUGAUUCAUCACUUUCUCUCCCUUACUUCUCUCCCAUCUCUGAUAUUUUUCUCCCUUCUCUGUUUAAUUUUUGUCUCUUUCCCCUCCAGAACCGCGUAUUCUCCUCCCUUGGACAUUUCUGCAAAUAUCUUCCUUUUGCAAAUUAUUACUCCUCACUCCUUUCCCAUUUUUCUCCCACUUGCUUCUCUGAUAGCUAAUCUCCCUCUCUCCAUCUCUCCUUCUGUCGCUUUAUCUCUUUACCAUUACUGGUUGAUUCCUUUUUGGUAUCCUCAAAAAGGGUAGUGGCGUUUGAUAAUUGCUUCUGCGUCAGCUACACAACUAAAGAAGCACUUUCUCCCCCCAAGAAUUACUGGGAGGUCAGUAUGGCAACUAAAGAAGCAACUGAUGGUGCUAGCGUUACUGUUUCUGCCGUUUCUUCUAAGAUUCCGGCAGCUGCGAACCCUUUGGCUGAAGAUGCUUUAAAGAUUGCAUCCAAUAUUAUUUACCAUGCACAAUACAGCCCUCAUUUCUCCCCUUCCAAGUUCGAGCCGGAGCAAGCUUUCUAUGCCACUGCUGAGAGUGUUCGUGAUCGGCUUGUACAAGUACUGAUAUUUAAGACCUUAAUAAUUGAAGGGUUAUUAUUCAUUUUGUUAUUUUUUUCAUGUGGUAUUGUUUGUUUAGUUAAUUCUUCUUUUGCUCUGUAGAUGAAUUGCCCUCAUGAAUUUGUUACUAUCAUGUGGACUAAGAUGGUUUCUAGCUAACUUUUAAAAGAUAUUUUCCAUGUGAUUUGCUAUCAGAAUGUAACUUGAUUGGACUAUUUUUCCAGGAUGCAAUAGAAGGUGAAUAAUAAAAAUAAUAAGGAAUAAUAAAGGAAGCUUGUGUUUUUGAACAAAGUUUGGGGUGAUGUUUAUAUUCUCUGCAGCAAUGGAAUGAGACGUAUCUUCAUUAUCACAAAGUUGAUCCAAAGCAGACAUACUACUUAUCAAUGGAAUAUCUUCAAGGACGAGCUUUGACCAAUGCAAUUGGGAACCUGGACAUUCAAGGCGCAUAUGCUGAUGCUUUAAAUAAGCUGGGACAUGAACUUGAGGAAAUCGUUGAGCAGGAGAAAGAUGCAGCACUUGGAAAUGGUGGUCUAGGGAGACUUGCUUCAUGUUUUCUAGACUCUAUGGCAACACUGAAUUUGCCUGCAUGGGGAUAUGGUCUGAGGUACAGAUAUGGGCUGUUCAAGCAGAGGAUCACCAAGGAGGGCCAAGAAGAAAUUGCUGAGGACUGGCUUGAGGUCUGAUCUCUCUUUAAAAUAUUGCGUAAUGUCAUUUAAACAAAUUGAUGUUUGAUUUUGACUGGACUUAUGCAGAAGUUUAGUCCUUGGGAAGUUGUCAGGCAUGAUGUUGUAUUCCCUGUCAGAUUCUUUGGUCAUGUUCAGGUUAAUCCUGAUGGAUCGUAAGUAUUGAUACUAAAUCUUUUAAAUUGACCAUAUUGCUGCACUCAUAUGCUGGUUUCAAAUCCUUCAAGUAUUAAGGGAUCAUACUCACUUUUUUCCCUUUUUUUUUCUUCUGUUUAUGUUCUUUUUUAUUUUUCUUACAACAGACAAUUUAACGCAAAAUGGUUGCAUCUUGUAUAUGCAGCCGAAAGUGGGUUGGUGGAGAGAUUGUGCAAGCUCUAGCUUAUGAUGUUCCAAUUCCAGGAUAUAAAACCAAGAAUACUAUUAGUCUUCGCCUCUGGGAAGCAAGAGCUUCUGCUGAGGACUUCAAUCUAUUUCAAUUUAAUGAUGGACAGUAUGAAUCUGCUGCGCAGCUUCAUUCUCGAGCUCAGCAGAUUUGUGCUGUUCUUUAUCCUGGGGAUGCAACAGAAGAAGGAAAGCUUUUGCGGCUGAAGCAACAAUUCUUUCUAUGUAGUGCGUCGCUUCAGGCCUAAAGGUUGGCAAGGCAACACAAGAUUAGAUAUGGCUGUGCCCUUCAUUCUAUGCUGACCCCAGGCUGGGUCUGGUUUGUUGGAAGUCCAUAUGAGAUACAAUAAUUACAAACCCAUGUUUCUUCGCGUUCUAAUAUUGCAUGUAGAGUGGUUAGCUUGUCAGGCUAGUUUGCACUACAGUUCACCCUAAUGUUGGGACAAAUUGCAGGAUAUUAUUAUGAGAUUUAAGGAGAGGAGAACUGGGAAAAGCUCAUGGAAAUGGUCUGAAUUUCCCAGCAAGGUUGCAGUACAACUGAAUGAUACUCAUCCUACCCUUGCAAUUCCCGAGCUGAUGCGAAUUCUAAUGGAUGAUGAAGGAAUUGGGUGGGAUGAAGCCUGGGAUGUGACAACAAGGACCGUUGCUUAUACAAAUCACACAGUCCUUCCUGAAGCAUUAGAGAAGUGGUCACAAACUGUCAUGUGGAAGCUUCUUCCACGCCACAUGGAAAUCAUAGAAGAAAUAGAUAAGAGGUUCAUUGCGCUGAUACGUGGCAGUCGGACUGAUCUUGAGAGUAAGCUUCCCAGCAUGUGCAUCUUGGAUAAUAAUCCCCAAAAGCCAGUUGUUCGGAUGGCGAAUUUGUGUGUGGUUUCUUCACAUACGGUGAAUGGUGUAGCUCAGUUACACAGUGAUAUCUUGAUGUCUGAGUUAUUUGCAGACUAUGUGUCUAUAUGGCCAAAAAAGUUCCAAAACAAAACCAAUGGAAUUACACCUCGCCGUUGGCUCCGGUUUUGCAGUCCUGAGCUCAGUAACAUAAUUACAAAAUGGUUAAAAACUGAUCAGUGGGUUACCAACCUUGACCUACUUGUAGGUCUCCAAAAGUUUGCGGACAAUGAGGACUUCCAAACUGCAUGGGGCUCUGCCAAGAUGGCUAAUAAGCAACGUUUGGCACAGUACAUACUGCGAGUGACAGGUGUAAGCAUUGAUCCAAAUAGUUUAUUUGACAUACAAGUCAAGCGAAUCCAUGAAUAUAAAAGACAGCUUCUGAAUAUUUUGGGUGCAGUAUAUAGAUACAAGAAAUUGAAGGAGAUGAGUGCUGAAGAGCGGAAGAAUACAACUCCACGCACUGUUAUGAUUGGAGGCAAAGCAUUUGCUACAUAUACAAAUGCUAAAAGAAUAGUGAAGCUGGUAAAUGAUGUUGGCGCUGUUGUCAACAGUGAUCCUGAAGUCAAUAGUUAUUUGAAGGUAGUAUUUGUUCCAAAUUACAAUGUAUCUGUAGCAGAGAUGCUUAUUCCAGGAAGUGAAUUAUCACAGCAUAUCAGUACUGCAGGCAUGGAGGCAAGCGGCACAAGCAACAUGAAAUUUGCACUCAAUGGUUGCCUUAUAAUAGGAACUCUGGAUGGGGCUAAUGUGGAAAUUAGGGAGGAAAUAGGAGAGGAAAAUUUCUUUCUCUUUGGUGCAACAGCAGAUGAGGUCCCUAGACUACGCAAGAAAAGAGAGAAUGGAUUGUUCAAACCAGAUCACCGAUUUGAGGAGGCCAAGCAGUUUAUAAGAAGUGGGGCAUUUGGAAGCUACGAUUACAAUCCACUUCUUGAUUCUCUGGAGGGGAACUCUGGUUAUGGCCGUGGUGAUUAUUUUCUUGUUGGGGAUGACUUCCCAAGCUAUUUGGAUGCUCAGAAAAGAGUAGAUGAAGCUUACAAGGAUAGCAAGAGAUGGCUGAAAAUGUCCAUAUUAAGCACCGCUGGCAGUGGCAAAUUCAGUAGCGAUCGCACAAUUGCUCAAUAUGCAAAAGAGAUAUGGAAUAUUGAGGGGUGCCGAGUACCAUAAUUGCUACUAUAUGCCACUCAUCAUUCUAUGUUUAUGAUUGUAAUAAAGCAUGAACAAGCUGGAAAGAAUCAGGGAAAUGUCAAGGGAAAGGAACCAUACUUGUAUCAAAAUAUGCAUAAGUGGAUAUGCAUAAGUGGAACGCAUCAAUAAACCAGAUGCUAUGCAUCUGUCACUCUUCAUGUUUGUAUUAGGAGAUAUUAUUGCCCUAUAAAAUAAUCUCUUUUUUUUUUUUUAAUUUCCUUUUUUUUUGGUGUGUGAUGCCUCCUCUCUUAAACAUGUUCUUAGAGAUUCAUAGGCAUUAUGAAUGGAAACCACAUACGAUGAUAUGCUACCUGGCUACUUCUCCAUCCCCUUUCUAGUUUAGCUGCUGUAUCUCAAAAUCCAUCUCAAAUUGUCACCUUCCUAAUGGAUUUCCAAGAAACAUCCCCAAAACUUUAGAAUCCUAGAGUAAUCAGUAGCUGGGUUUGCACAUAAUGUUGCUAUGGAAUAAAAUGAAGAAUAAAAUAGCUAUUCCAUAGGCUAUGGCGUGGCUAUUCUUCAAAUUUCAAUUAUGUUCAGAACUUGUAUUCCACUAGUUUAUAGUAUAGCUAUUCUAUUUCUAUGGAGUAUUUUAUUCCACAUUAAAAUUUGAACCAAAGUAAAACUGUGGAAUGGCUAAUCUAUGAAUAACUAUUCUACAUAUAAAAUUUUAACGCCAAAGUUCUAUGCAACACGGAACUACCUUAUUUUUACAUGAACCAAACAAAGUUAUUGUAAAGUCCAUUACAUUUUCACUGGCUUUGUUUUUUUUGUAUUAAUGAACUCUUCUAGAUUCAGUCAAACAGUUUUUGUUGCUUACAUAUCUCUAAGUUGGAUAUUCUCACUGGAGGUGCAUUGCAGCUUGGAUCUGCUGAACGUUUCAUGCAAGAAUCAGAGUUUUUGAUAUAUGGGAAUGGUAAAGACAACCCUCCUACAGGAUUUAUGUUUAAGAAACAGCAGAUGAAAGGUUUAUAUUUCAAUCAAUCACCAACAAAGGUAUGUUGCACUUCAAGCUGAUGACAUUAUCCAAAAUCUAUUGGUUUCUAUAACUUACUUCCAAAUACAUAAAGCAGGCCCUUAUUUGUUCAAUAAAAAUGAAUUAGCUUGAAAUAAUUUAAUAUAAAUAUGGGUUUGAACUUUUUAUUGUGCCUUACUUUUUUUUUUAUCUUACAUCAAUUAGUUAGACUCUUUGGCUUUGUCCUUGACCUUUGGGGUUAAAGGGAGAGACACGGGCAAGGGAAGAUGCAUCUGACAGAAGGGUGAAGGGAAUUGUUAACCUUCUUAAAUGAUGAUUAGUUUGUCUUUUAUAGUUUGCUUUGUUGAUCUUAGGUUUGCCUCCACUAAAAAUAGAACACUUUUGUGACCACCACUUUGGUCCAUGGCCCUCCAACUAAUUUGAAUGAUCUUGUUGCUGUGGUCACAAUGUGAAGUGCGUUUUUUAACUAAAAUAAAAGAAUAGUUGGGGUUUUGUGUUCACUUAAUACUAAAUUCUCAAGUCUAAGAGGCUUUACAGUAGAAGUAUGAAGUCAGAAUUUGGCCUUCUAAUCUGUGUUCAUUAUACGUCCUAGUUUGCUAGUAAAAUUCAAACUAGACUUUUCUCCCCAGGAUGUUGCUUUGUCAAUGGUUUGUAUGAGACCCAUCCCAUUGGGUCCUAUAAUGGAGAAGCUGUCAUUGUCCUUUGAGAAAUAUGGAACUAGUAGGCGGUUCUUCAUUCAAACAUUGGAUGAUCAUGCACUUUCACCAGAUGUCCAAGAAAAGCUAGUGAGAGAAAAUCCACCAGAAGGAUUCUUCAAGAUUAAAGGAAGUGACCACUGUCCUUUCUUUUCAAAACCACAAUCUCUCCACAAAAUAUUGCUGGAAAUUGCUCAGAUUCCAUAGAUUGUUUAUUUUGGGAAAUGGAGAACAAGUUUCUGUGAGUCUUUUAUUGGUUUAACAUACAUAGCUUUUACAAUGUGAUAAGCGAUUGUUAAUUGUCGAACAAUGGAUGAAUUUUUCUACUGUUAAUGAUUUCUUAAGUCUUAUUCUGAGUGUAUGCACAGGGUGUAAAUUUAUCUAACUUGUUACCUAGAUAAACCAAUAUCGUGAUUUGAUGUGGUUGAAGGGAUCAUACUUGACUAUUAGCAAAUAUUAGUGCAGUUAUGAAUUGCUUUCUUCCUCCCAUUAAAUGUGGAUUCUACUGGUAAUUUUGGAGGUGGAUGUUAUAUGAGUGUGAAGGGGUGAAUCACCCUGGAUGUGUUGAAUAAUUUAAGUUCAGAUCUCACAAUUAUUAGUUUGGAUUGUUACUCCUAUUUGAUAGAUUGUUUAUUUUUGCAUAUGCAAAUGUCUUUUAUUGUAAUUACAUGAUUAUGAUUUAAAUAUCUCUAGUUAUAAUGAACAAAAUUACUAUGUAUCUUGUAUUUCUGUUUCUGAUUAAAAAAAGAAGAAGAAAGCUCUCACUAUGGUCAUUGUUAGGUGGUUGAAUGAAGUACAAUCUACACUUCCAUUCAAAAUUCCUGACCUUCAAGCCAUUAACUUCUUUUACGAUUCCAAUUUCCUGACCUUUAAUCAACAGAAUACCUUGUACGUAUUGGAGAAGGAUAGAGUUUUUAUCUCUUCUUUUUUAUUUUCUUU